UACGUAGGGGCAAGCGUUGUCCGGAUUUAUUGGGCGUAAAGAGCGUGUAGGCGGCCAGACAGGUCCGUUGUGAAACUCGAGGCUCAACCUCGAGACGCCGAUGGAAACCGUCUGGCUAGAGUCCGGAAGAGGAGAGUGAAUUCCUGGUGUAGGCGGUGAAAUGCGCAGAGUAUCAAGGAGGAACACCGGUGGCGAAGGCGGUUCUC
rnacentral:rRNA from 1 species